AUUGAACGCUGGCGGCAUGCUUUACACAUGCAAGUCGAACGGUAACAGGCCGCAAGGUGCUGACGAGUGGCGAACGGGUGAGUAAUGCAUCGGAACGUGCCCAGUCGUGGGGGAUAACGCAGCGAAAGCUGCGCUAAUACCGCAUACGAGCUAUGGAUGAAAGCGGGGGACCGUAAGGCCUCGCGCGAUUGGAGCGGCCGAUGUCAGAUUAGGUAGUUGGUGGGGUAAAGGCUCACCAAGCCAACGAUCUGUAGCUGGUCUGAGAGGACGACCGGCCACACUGGGACUGGAACACGGCCCAGACUCCUACGGGAGGCAGCAGUGGGGAAUUUUGGACAAUGGGCGCAAGCCUGAUCCAGCAAUGCCGCGUGCAGGAAGAAGGCCUUCGGGUUGUAAACUGCUUUUGUACGGAACGAAACGGCUCUCACUAAUACUGGGGGCUAAUGACGGUACCGUAAGAAUAAGCACCGGCUAACUACGUGCCAGCAGCCGCCGUAACAC
rnacentral:rRNA from 1 species